UACGUAGGGGGCAAGCGUUGUCCGGAUUUACUGGGCGUAAAGAGCGUGUAGGCGGCCACGCAGGUCCGUUGUGAAAACUGGAGGCUCAACCUCCAGCUGUCGACGGAAACCGUAUGGCUAGAGCCCGGAAGAGGAGAGUGGAAUUCCUGGUGUAGCGGUGAAAUGCGCAGAUAUCAGGAAGAACACCAAUGGCGAAGGCAGCUCUCUGGGACGGUACUGACGCUGAGACGCGAAAGCGUGGGGAGCGAACAGG
rnacentral:rRNA from 1 species